UCGUGGAGCUCCGGCUCCUUCGAGGGAGAGCCCUUGUCUUUUCGAGCACCUGUUUGUUUCCUCGGCAGGCCCGCCUGCCAAUGGGGACCCCUUUAAACUCUUGCAAUAACCUGUAUGAGAUCGUCUGAACAAAACAAACAAAUCA
rnacentral:misc_RNA from 1 species